GCCAUGUAGCUAUAGAAAGAAGGCUGAAGCCUGUCUAACUGGCAGGGGCCCACCACCACCUCCCCUCACCCCAUCUGAGGAGCUGGCUCUGUCCCUUAAUAAAGGGCGACCAGUGAUACUAAUAUGGUGAAAUGAUCGACAUGACAAUGAACAGACCACAUCUGCUGUGACAGAAGUGGACAAUGCUGGUAGAGCCACUGAGUUGCCAGCAAAGGAGCUGUAAGGUCCAUCUUUAAAAACAAAUGAGCAAAAUGGAAAAGAGAAAUGGAAG